UCGUCUAUAGCAGCUCCUUUAUCUACUGCAGAAUACCGGCGGAGUUUUGUCGAUUUACGUCCUCAGUGCUGCGAUGCAUCCGAAGAAUUUCUGGCCUUCCAAUCGCAGCUGAGAAGCGACCGCUGGAGGUCGUCAAUCUUCUAUUGAGCACCGUCGACGAGUGUAUUCCCCUGUCCGGAGAGGCUCCUACGAAUCAGCUCCUUGAUGCUCUUUUAUUGUCUUCCAGGGUUUAUAACCCGCUUCUUCAACAAAACCCUUUAUUGGUGUUGACUAAGUUGUCGCCGAGUCUCACAACCCCUCCGAUAGCCAUCGUCGCCUGAGAGACGUCCACACCUGUCUCAACGAUUUUAACACCCACAUCAAGAAGAGACGCCAACGCCUCUCCAGGUUUUUCAGGCGAGUAGUCAUCAACGC
rnacentral:lncRNA from 1 species